rnacentral:rRNA from 1 species
AGGACGAACGCUGGCGGCGUGCUUAACACAUGCAAGUCGAGCGGAAAGGCCCUUCGGGGUACUCGAGCGGCGAACGGGUGAGUAACACGUGGGUAACCUGCCCCUUGCCCUGGGAUAACUCCGGGAAACCGGGGCUAAUACCGGAUAUGACACUCGCAGGCAUCUGCUGGGUGUGGAAAGUUUUUCGGCGAGGGAUGGGCCCGCGGCCUAUCAGCUUGUUGGUGGGGUAAUGGCCCACCAAGGCGACGACGGGUAG